AGCGAACGCUGGCGGCAGGCUUAACACAUGCAAGUCGAACGGGCAUAGCAAUAUGUCAGUGGCAGACGGGUGAGUAACGCGUGGGAACGUACCUUUUGGCUCGGAACAACACAGGGAAACUUGUGCUAAUACCGGAUAAGCCCUUACGGGAAAAGAUUUAUCGCCGAAAGAUCGGCCCGCGUCUGAUUAGCUAGUUGGUAGGGUAAUGGCCUACCAAGGCGACGAUCAGUAGCUGGUCUGAGAGGAUGAUCAGCCACAUUGGGACUGAGACACGGCCCAAACUCCUACGGGAGGCAGCAGUGGGGAAUAUUGGACAAUGGGCGAAAGCCUGAUCCAGCCAUGCCGCGUGAGUGAUGAAGGCCCUAGGGUUGUAAAGCUCUUUUGUGCGGGAAGAUAAUGACGGUACCGCAAGAAUAAGCCCCGGCUAACUUCGUG
rnacentral:rRNA from 1 species